rnacentral:lncRNA from 1 species
GGCCUCCACUAGAAGCAAACAGGCUGUCUCCACGGCCCCUCCCUCCUUCCUCCUGGCCUCAGGGCCGCUGCGCGGGGGACUCCAGCAAUCCCAGGUGCUGCGCAGGGUGGGCUGGUGUCCCACUGGGGCUGUGUCCUGUGAGUCCCUGUGUCUCCGCCCUGGGGUGGCAUGAGCCGCUGUAGCUGUUGGGACACAGGCGGGACAUGGGGCACACCUACACUGCAGCAGGCCCCGGCCCGAGAAUCUGCUCUGGGGCCUCUUCCUUGUUGGGCCUUCAGGGCUUUGGCCACCAGAGCGCUACAGGCAGGGCACCCUGGCUCUCGGGGGCACUGGGUUUGAGGGUAGGUGACGGCCACUCCCUGGAUCGACCAACUGAGCCAGAUGGGGAGCCAGGGUGGGGAGCCAAGGGAAGCACCACCCCGGGCUUCUGGGCUGUCAGCUGCCUCCAGGCCCCUGGUGCUCCCCACCUGCUGCACAGCACCCAGAGGAGCUCCUAGGGCAGAGCAGGCGGCCACAGGCCACUGCCCGGGGAAGCCUGGGAAGCAGAGGACCCUGAAUCCUCGUCCCACCCCCAAACACCAUCACAACCAGAGGCUGGGUCUCUUCCUCCACAGGACCCCACCCUGCAAACAGUGGACCAGGACCCCUGUCCCCAAGGGUCAGCCAGGCUGGAACUCCCUCGGAGGCUGGGGAGGUGACUUCUCCCUCCCUGACCCUGGUCUUGUGCCCCGGGGUAUUCCAGGGGCUGGCUGGUGUGUGCCUAGAGGGGUGAGCAGCGCCCCGCCCCACUGGCAAGGUUGAGACCUCUGCCUGCUCCCCAGAGUUGGGUUCCAAAAAUUAUAAGACUUAAGUGUAGAGACACAAGCACCCUGGCUCUCCCCACGGAAAUAAGGCCCCAAGAAGGAGGUCAGGACCACAUGGCUUGGCGGGGCCCCUGGGCAGCACGACAGCCACAGGCCAGCUGGGUGCAGGGCCUCCCCCAGGGAAGAAGGCCCUUUCCAAGGCUCCCCAGUGGCUGGGAGAAAGGGGUCCUCCCCAGGGCUCACUGCCCCCUUCCUGGCACAGGGCAGAAAAAGGAGCUGGAUUUUGACGUGAGGGAGAAAUUUAUCAACUUUGCCAGGACCCUGGGCAUCUGGCAGGGUCACAUUGUCUUCCUGCCCACGGCCUGUACUGGGAGGUUUGUGUGGACCAAGGAGGGGCCCCGGGCUACAGGGUGCAGGAAUGUGGUCCCAAGAACCCUAAGGGCAAAGAAUGGGGGUCCAGAUGCUGGACCUCAGAUGCACCCAGCCCUCGCGCCCCCACAAGCCAGAGAAAGGGGCUGCAGGAGAUCCUCAGGGCAGGGCUGGGUGCUGGGCUCAGGAAGAGAAUCUAG